CCUACGGGUGGCAGCAGUGGGGGAUAUUGCACAAUGGGGGAAACCCUGAUGCAGCGACGCCGCGUGUGGGAAGACGGUCCUCUGGAUUGUAAACCACUGUCCCCAGGGACGAAGCUGACGGUACCUGGGGAGGAAGCUCCGGCAAACUACGUGCCAGCAGCGGCGGUAAUACGUGGGGAGCGAGCUUUGUCCGGAAUUAGGGGGUGUAAGGGGGGCGUAGGCGGGACUGAAAGUUGGGUGUCAAAUCUUCCGGCUCAACCGGUAGCCGCACUCAAAACUGCAGUUCUUGAGUGAAGUAGGGGCAGGCGGAAUUCCUAGUGUAGCGGUGAAAUGCGUAGAUAUUAGGAGGAACACCAGUGGCGAAGGCGGCCUGCUGGGCUUUUACUGACGCUGAGGCACGAAAGUGUGGGGAGCAAACAGGAUUAGAUACCCGUGUAGUC
rnacentral:rRNA from 1 species